GGAAGGAAGGCCUGUUUCCUGUUCCUUUUUCUCUCUGCCACGCUGCACAGGUAUGCCUCAACUUUACUCUGUCUCACAUAUAUGUAUGUGAGGCUGCUCUUGCUGUAUAUUUCUCAACUAAGAAUAUUUACCAACAUUUUAUCAUUUUUACUAAGGAAAAUGCAAGUCUUGAGACCUAGUAACUCAGGAGUGUGGAAUCUCCUCCAGUCUUUCAGAUGGACUUCAGACCCAACCAGCAUGGACAGUGAUCAGGGAUGAACCAUCAAAAUGCGGCCCCCACGAUAGCUUUUCACUGGUGCCGCGCCGCACUUUGCAUCUUUACCUUUUUGCAUGGCAGAAGCAUCACACGGAAUCCAUAACCAGGAGGGGAGAGAUUCUAAAAACUAUUUGCUUACAUGUGCAAAUAAGAAGAAGAACAGUUUGGAUUUGAUAUCCCACUUAAUCACUACCCGAAGGAGUCUCAAAGCGGCUAACAAUCUCCUUUCC